UGGGGAAUAUUGGACAAUGGGGGCAACCCUGAUCCAGCAAUGCCGCGUGUGUGAAGAAGGUCUUCGGAUUGUAAAGCACUUUCGACGGGGACGAUGAUGACGGUACCCGUAGAAGAAGCCCCGGCUAACUUCGUGCCAGCAGCCGCGGUAAUACGAAGGGGGCUAGCGUUGCUCGGAAUGACUGGGCGUAAAGGGCGUGUAGGCGGUUUACACAGUCAGAUGUGAAAUCCCCGGGCUUAACCUGGGAGCUGCAUUUGAUACGUGUAGACUAGAGUGUGAGAGAGGGUUGUGGAAUUCCCAGUGUAGAGGUGAAAUUCGUAGAUAUUGGGAAGAACACCGGUGGCGAAGGCGGCAACCUGGCUCAUGACUGACGCUGAGGCGCAAAAGCGUGGGGAGCAAACAGGAUUAGAUACCCUGGUAGUCCACGCUGUAAACGAUGUGUGCUAGAUGUUGGGUAACUUUGUUAUUCAGUGUCGCAGUUAACGCGUUAAGCACACCGCCUGGGGAGUACGGCCGCAAGGUUGAAAC
rnacentral:rRNA from 1 species